GAAACAGCGACCAUAACCUCGAUUGGUCUGGUUCGUUCUUUCUGAAUUUUCUACCGCCGUAGCAUUCACUUCAGGGAAUGCUUUGGCUCCCGUAGGUCGGGAAUUGUGGUUUUUGAUUAAGAGCUCAUUGUUCUUUUCAGCCAACAUGAGCGCAACCAUCAAUUCAGAAAAUUUCGUGUACCCGCAUUUUCUGUAAAUUUCGGGCAAGAAGUGAAGCUGUUUGUGGAAAGUGUUAUAUGUUUUAUUCAUCACUUCUGCCUCAGAGACAUGAUUACCGCCAUACUUCAGGAGUGCAACUAUCCUCAGGACAGCAAAAUUGUAAUCAUCAACCUUUUGAAAAUCUUGGAACCUCAGAUUUUUCCACUCUUCUAGAGCGUGAGGGAGGUUGAUUUGUCUCUGGUUAUCGAACCUUUCUUUUAUAGUUUGCCACAGUUCAUCUGGGUCCUCGACGUUUGCCUAGUCGUGCGUUAGAUUUUCAUCUAAAUGCUUCUUCAGAAAGAUUAUCGCUUCGGCUAUAUGCUCAGGUGGUGAUUUGUUACCGAUUACAAUUGUUUCGGUUAUCUUUUUCAUCACCAGAUAUGGUUUCACGUUUGUGACCCACCCGACGUAAUUUUCGCCAGUUAUUUUUAGGGCCGGGAACUGGAGUUUCUCGAUGUUUGCUAUUUGUAUUUCUAAAACACAAAAUAAAAUAUUUUAUUAGAAUUUCGUAAUUUUAAUCGAACCAUUUAUAUUGAUAAUACACACAAUUACAAGGCGAAGCAACGCAUAUAAAAUUAAACCGACAUUAAGCGCAAAUUCUCGAGGAGCAAAUUCUCCAAUAAAAAGACCAUACAUAGAAGCAAAAAUAAAAAAUGCACAUAAGACCAAAAAUAUGCGAAUCAUCUUUCUUGUAAUGAAAAACCGGGAUGAAGCGAUUUGUAAAUAUUUGAGAGAAGAUGAAAUGUUUUGGAUGAAGUAAAUGAGUGAAGUAUGAGUUGUAUUUAUAGAUGAAAAUCACUGUUCAUGACCGUUGGAGAAAGGUAAAAUUUUUGAAAAAUUUUCUUUGUGACCGUUGGUGUUAAAUCGAGUGCACCAAAAAUCAGUCUGAAAAUAUCGUAUUAAACAGUCAAUCAAUUCUAUAAAAUUUCAUAAAAAGUAAAAAAAUUAUGGCAAUGAAAUAUUUAUGUUAUGACAAUAAAUCAUGCGACGACUCAGCCGGUCAAUGCAUAGUAAUAAAUAAAUUAUACGGCGGCUCGGCCGACCAAUUAAUAAUAAACAGAAUAUAAGACGGCUCGGCCGACCAAUAAAUAAUAAACAGAAUAUAAGACGGCUCAGCCGACCAAUAAAUUAAUUAAAUUACUAAUAAAUAAUAUAUGCGGUAUUCCGGCCAUUAUAACAUGAUAUAAAUAAUAGUAGAGGCGGUAUACCGACCAUUAUGGCAUGGUAUAAAUGAUACAAAUAAAUUUUACCAAAUUGAAGAACGAUCAUGCUGAUAAUGUGUUAUAAAAAGAAUUGGAAUUUUAUUGUAUCGCGGGAAUUUAAAUAAGGACAAAAUUUAUACCCGUAGAAUUUUUAAUACUGAUAGAAAGAGUUUAUUAUAGAGAGAAGAGAAUGUUGAUGGAUGAUUUAUAAACGAUCGAAUCGAUCGUUUAUAUAGAAAUUAAAAAAGUAGAAUUUACUGUACAAAUAGUACAGCGGACCCCACAUCUUUUUUCUUUCAACAAUUGCGGUGGGUGCUUUCGUAACAAAUUAUAACUUUUAUUGGAAAUUCUCUAGUGCUAACCAGAGGAGUCCUUCAUUUUGUGAAGAACAUUAAAGCUUGAAGUGAUAUGGUGGUGAUCGUGACUCGUGAUCACGUUUUUGUAGUCCCUGAUACCAAAAUUUAACUCUAUUUGUUUCUUUUUAAUUUGGCAUUUCAUGUCUUUCUAACUUGUUUUGUUAUGAUCUCACAAUCUAUCUGACAAAUCUUGAUCUUAAAAUUUUAAUAUUUGAGUCUUCUUUUUGAAAUUCUACCAUGUCGCUAUCUCUAGAUUGGGUUGUAGUGAGAUAUACAUGAAUAAACAUGGUGUAGAAGCUUAGACAAGUUAUAUUUGUGGAUGUAGUCACAUGUAAGCUACAUCAUUGAUAUGGGUAUGGUCAUAGACAUCAUGAGUCCCAACAACAGAAAUUCCAUUAUCUCUGCCUGCAAUAAACUCAACAAAACCCAUCUUUAGCUUACUCAUUCACUGCGCAAGAUAAUCUUCACAUCAAAGACGAAAAUUAGAACUCACAACUUGGUAAGGUCUUCUAUCCACUCUCAUCCGGAUCAAUCCAACCUAAAAGAUUCACAACAGGGUCGUUGACAUUGUCCAUCCCAUUGUACAAAUUUGUUAACCCCACAAAACCAAGACCUUUCAAGAUCUCAGGCACAUCUCGCAACACAACAUCACAUAACUACCACUUCUGUGUUGUUGUCACAGCAGAUCACAUCAGAUUGUCCAUCUUCACCAUACUUCCUAAUCACGUUCGUUAAGCACCGAGAACUUAAGGUUUUCUACCUCUCUGGUAAUGUAGAUAGCGAUGUCAGUGCUUAGAUCAAGUGUGCAUCACGUAGAUGCAAAAAGUAUCCAACCAGGGGAAUACAUUAGUAUAGAGAGGAUCACAUUGAAGUUUUUACAUAUCUCGUCUGCAAAUAUAUCCAUCCCAUAAUCAGCCUUGACCGGAUCACUCGUCCUACACAUUGAGCUGUUUGGCUCUGUUUUAUAGCCAAAAAAAAGUCAACAUUAAUAGUCACAAACAGAUGAAGGAUUUGCACCAAAAUAUACAUAAAGAUCAUAACAUUAUAAUUAGACCAAGGAGAUCAAAAGUUAGCAUCACGCAAAUACUCCAAAUCUCCUGAAAUAUUGUGUUCCCUUUUCUGGUUUAGAGGAUAUAUCUGAUAAUAAUUUUGUCGAAAUCUGAUUGAGAGGAUAUAUCUUUGUUGUUGAUUGGUGAUUCACAUCCUUUUUGUUCUUUAUCUGAUUCUCGCAUGUUCUUAAAUCUUCUUUAUUUGCUGACCUUGUAUUCAAACAGAUCUUUUUAAAAAAGUUUUUGUCUAGACAUGAGUUUACGUUUAAUUGACAAUGUCACCACUUCUUCAUAUAGUGAUGUUCCUCUGUUCUUUUCUUGAAGGAACAAAAACAAAUGGGUGCGCAAAUUAUAUACUGUGAUGGCUUCGAGGUGUCAAUGUCUUUGAACCUCCCAAAACCAUAGCUCUCACAAAUACUUUUGCUUUUACCUUGCAGAGAAUGAAAACAUUUUCAUCUUGUGUUUCAAAGAAAUAUUUUUUAUGUUGUUUAUCUCCUUGUCGA